rnacentral:rRNA from 1 species
UACGUAGGGGGCAAGCGUUGUCCGGAUUUAUUGGGCGUAAAGCGCGCGUAGGCGGCGCGGUAUGUCGUGCGUGAAAUCUCCCGGCUUAACUGGGAGGGGCCGUGCGAAACUGCCGGGCUUGAGGUCGGAAGGGGAAAGUGGAAUUCCGGGUGUAGUGGUGGAAUACGUAGAUAUCCGGAGGAACACCAGCGGCGAAGGCGGCUUUCUGGUCCAAUACUGACGCUGAGGUGCGAAAGCGUGGGGAGCGAUCCGG